UACGUAGGGGGCAAGCGUUGUCCGGAAUCAUUGGGCGUAAAGAGCGUGUAGGCGGCUCGAUAAGUCUGCUGUGAAAGUCCAGGGCUCAACCCUGGAAGGCCGGUGGAAACUGUCGGGCUAGAGUCCGGAAGAGGCGAGUGGAAUUCCCGGUGUAGCGGUGAAAUGCGCAGAUAUCGGGAGGAACAUCAGUGGCGAAGGCGGCCUUCUGGUCCAGUACUGACACUCAAGUGCGAAAGCGUGGGGAGCAAACAGG
rnacentral:rRNA from 1 species